ncrna:unclassified sequences L31-Actinobacteria ribosomal protein leader
GCGGUACCGGUUCACGCCCGCGGCCACAGGCAGGCGGCGAGGCGACCCGGCGACC